CUGCGCUUUACUCCACAGGCUGAGCUUGAGAAAGGCGGCAAGACCCUGAGAAGAAAUGGCGGCACGAAAAGUGUUGCGGAGGCUGUGGAGUUCCCAGUCCCGCCAUGCUGUAGGCGUUGAAAAAUGAUCUCCUCGCACCCCAAAAUAGCACAGAGGAGGCCCUGAAACCAGAUGGGGCCACGUGGGUGGAAACAAGGAGGUUCUCUUCAGUGGCUGGCACUAAACAGCACCCAAGGAACAAUCAGGAUGAAGGUCUCAGCCGAUGCCGCUGUGGCUAGAUGACGUUUGGACCUGAUUAAAGAAGGACAACAAAGGCCAAUUUGCCAUCACCAAAGGAGCAGCUUGACCUGGAGGGAUGAGGCCUGGAGGCCGACAGCAGGACUCCGUCAGUGAUUCUUUCAGCUCUUGAAAAUGAUCCCUGAAUCCAACGGAGCUGCAUCUACAGAAUGAAAAAGUCCAAGAAAGACACUUUCUCUCACCUUUUUGGAGCCUCUAGCCUGCCCUGGGAAGCCUGGUGGACUGGUGCUGAGAAGAGACCACGGCCCAGGUAGUUAUGCAGCCUGCAUGGUUGAUGGUAGAAGACCCAGGUGGGGAACAGAAAGACAGGAGUUUGUCACUCACCCUGCAGCUUGAACAAGACACUGAAUCUCUGAGCCUUAUAUUUUGUCUUUAUGUUAAAAUAGGAAUAAUUAUAUCAUCCUGAUGGGUUGUUUGGGGUCAAAGUAAUUAUCUAUAUUUUUGUAAAUUGCAAGUUGUUAUACUGUUGCUUGCAAAGAAGAACUACAACAGAAGUUUAGUCAGAGGUAAAAAUGGAGUAAAGGGAAGGAGCAGGAGGUCGAGAAAAAGAGAGUGGUCUCUUAAGAUUGUGAGACAUAUCAGAAGGUGGCAGGCCUGGGAAGGGAGUCAGUUCAGUGUAGGCCAGAGGAGGUAACCCAGGAGAGAGGAAGAAGCCCCAGCAGACAAGACAAGAAGAGGAGAUUAAAGUGAUAUGAAAGGUGCUAAAGACAUCCUCUACUUGGAUUGAGUUUUGUUUUUGUUUUUUGUUUUUUGUUUUUGUUUUA